AUGAACGCUAGCUACAGGCUUAACACAUGCAAGUCGAGGGGCAUCAGGAAGAAAGCUUGCUUUCUUUGCUGGCGGCCGGCGCACGGGUGAGUAACACGUAUCCAACCUGCCCUUUACUCGGGGAUAGCCUUUCGAAAGAAAGAUUAAUACCCGAUGGCAUAAUGAUUCCGCAUGGUUUCAUUAUUAAAGGAUUCCGGUAAAGGAUGGGGAUGCGUUCCAUUAGGUUGUUGGUGAGGUAACGGCUCACCAAGCCUUCGAUGGAUAGGGGUUCUGAGAGGAAGGUCCCCCACAUUGGAACUGAGACACGGUCCAAACUCCUACGGGAGGCAGCAGUGAGGAAUAUUGGUCAAUGGGCGCUAGCCUGAACCAGCCAAGUAGCGUGAAGGAUGAAGGCUCUAUGGGUCGUAAACUUCUUUUAUAUAAGAAUAAAGUGCAGUAUGUAUACUGUUUUGUAUGUAUUAUAUGAAUAAGGAUCGGCUAACUCCGUGCCAGCAGCCGCGGUAAUACGGAGGAUCCGAGCGUUAUCCGGAUUUAUUGGGUUUAAAGGGAGCGUAGGUGGACUGGUAAGUCAGUUGUGAAAGUUUGCGGCUCAACCGUAAAAUUGCAGUUGAUACUGUCAGUCUUGAGUACAGUAGAGGUGGGCGGAAUUCGUGGUGUAGCGGUGAAAUGCUUAGAUAUCACGAAGAACUCCGAUUGCGAAGGCAGCUCACUGGACUGCAACUGACACUGAUGCUCGAAAGUGUGGGUAUCAAACAGGAUUAGAUACCCUGGUAGUCCACACAGUAAACGAUGAAUACUCGCUGUUUGCGAUAUACAGUAAGCGGCCAAGCGAAAGCAUUAAGUAUUCCACCUGGGGAGUACGCCGGCAACGGUGAAACUCAAAGGAAUUGACGGGGGCCCGCACAAGCGGAGGAACAUGUGGUUUAAUUCGAUGAUACGCGAGGAACCUUACCCGGGCUUAAAUUGCAGUGGAAUGAUGUGGAAACAUGUCAGUGAGCAAUCACCGCUGUGAAGGUGCUGCAUGGUUGUCGUCAGCUCGUGCCGUGAGGUGUCGGCUUAAGUGCCAUAACGAGCGCAACCCCUGCCGGUAGUUGCUAACGGGUAAAGCCGAGGACUCUACCGGGACUGCCGGCGCAAGCCGUGAGGAAGGCGGGGAUGACGUCAAAUCAGCACGGCCCUUACGUCCGGGGCUACACACGUGUUACAAUGGGGGGUACAGAAGGCAGCUAGCGGGUGACCGUAUGCUAAUCCCAAAAUCCUCUCUCAGUUCGGAUCGAAGUCUGCAACCCGACUUCGUGAAGCUGGAUUCGCUAGUAAUCGCGCAUCAGCCACGGCGCGGUGAAUACGUUCCCGGGCCUUGUACACACCGCCCGUCAAGCCAUGGGAGCCGGGGGUACCUGAAGUACGUAACCGCAAGGAUCGUCCUAGGGUAAAACUGGUGACUGGGGCU
rnacentral:rRNA from 1 species